AAAAAAAUAAAUAAAAAAAUCCUCCAUAUGUGUUUCAUUUCCAGUUCUGUUAUCACCACUUGCCACACCAUUUAGAAGCUACCAUGGAUACCAGCUCUUCUGCGGGUUCUUCGUCUGUCCUCAUAAACCAGCUUACCUGGCCAAGACUUCAGAAGAGUCUCCAGGAUUGAAACUGGCCUUCAUCCUAGGAAGUCCAAGGCGGUGUGGCGAAUGUCACGGCAUCAAGUAUGGGGUUCGAUCUUGAGCUCCAAUGCUGUUGCCCCUCCAGCAUUUGGCAGACGCCCUCAUCCAGAGCGACGUACAGUACAUACA